UACGGAGGGGGCUAGCGUUGUUCGGAAUUACUGGGCGUAAAGCGCACGUAGGCGGCUUUGUAAGUUAGAGGUGAAAGCCCAGGGCUUAACCCUGGAAUUGCCUUUAAGACUGCAUCGCUCGAAUUGUGGAGAGGUAAGUGGAAUUCCGAGUGUAGAGGUGAAAUUCGUAGAUAUUCGGAAGAACACCAGUGGCGAAGGCGACUUACUGGACACAUAUUGACGCUGAGGUGCGAAAGCGUGGGGAGCAAACAGG
rnacentral:rRNA from 1 species